rnacentral:rRNA from 1 species
AGAGUUGAUCCUGGCUCAGAACGAACGCUGGCGGCGUGGAUAAGACAUGCAAGUCGAACGGGAGAAUUGCUAGCUUGCUAAUAAUUCUCUAGUGGCGCACGGGUGAGUAACACGUGAGUAACCUGCCCCCAAGAGUGGGAUAGCCCCGGGAAACUGGGAUUAAUACCGCAUAAAAUCGCAAGAUUAAAGCAGCAAUGCGCUUGGGGAUGGGCUCGCGUCCUAUUAGUUAGUUGGUGAGGUAACGGCUCACCAAGGCGAUGACGGGUAGCCGGUCUGAGAGGAUGUCCGGCCACACUGGAACUGAGACACGGUCCAGACACCUACGGGUGGCAGCAGUCGAGAAUCAUUCACAAUGGGGGAAACCCUGAUGGUGCGACGCCGCGUGGGGGAAUGAAGGUCUUCGGAUUGUAAACCCCUGUCAUGUGGGAGCAAAUUAAAAAGAUAGUACCACAAGAGGAAGAGACGGCUAACUCUGUGCCAGCAGCCGCGGUAAUACAGAGGUCUCAAGCGUUGUUCGGAAUCACUGGGCGUAAAGCGUGCGUAGGCGGUUUCGUAAGUCGUGUGUGAAAGGCGGGG